rnacentral:tRNA from 1 species
GCCGAGGUAGCUCACCGGUAGAGCGCGGCCCUGAAGAGGCCGGCGUAGUGGGUUCGACUCCCACCCUCGGCA